rnacentral:misc_RNA from 1 species
GAUGAAGAACGCAGCGAAAUGCGAUAAGUAAUGUGAAUUGCAGAAUUCAGUGAAUCAUCGAAUCUUUGAACGCACAUUGCGCCCCCCAGUAUUCUGGCGGGCAUGCCUGUUCGAGCGUCAUUUCAACCAUCAAGCCCUGCUUGUGUUGGGGACCUGCGGCUGCCGCAGGCCCUGAAAAGCAGUGGCGGGCUCGCUGUCACACCGAGCGUAGUAGCAUACAUCUCGCUCUGGGCGUGCUGCGGGUUCCGGCCGUUAAACCACCUUCAUAACCCAAGGUUGACCUCGGAUCAGGUAGGAAGACCCGCUGAACUUAAGCAUAUCAAUAAGCGGAGGA